CCUACGGGAGGCAGCAGUGAGGAAUAUUGGUCAAUGGGCUUACGCCUGAACCAGCCAAGUCGCGUGAGGGAAGACUGCCCUAUGGGUUGUAAACCUCUUUUGUCAGGGAGCAACGCCGGCUACGUGUAGCCGGACUGAGAGUACCUGACGAAAAAGCAUCGGCUAACUCCGUGCAAGCAGCCGCGGUAAUACGGAGGAUGCGAGCGUUAUCCGGAUUUAUUGGGUUUACAGGGUGCGUAGGCGGAAUGCCAAGUCAGCGGUAAAAUCGCGGGGCUCAACCUCGCUCCGCCGUUGAAACUGGCGUUCUUGAGUGGGCGAGAAGUAUGCGGAAUGCGUGGUGUAGCGGUGAAAUGCAUAGAUAUCACGCAGAACUCCGAUUGCGAAGGCAGCAUACCGGCGCCCAACUGACGCUGAAGCACGAAAGCGUGGGUAUCGAACAGGAUUAGAUACCCGAGUAGUC
rnacentral:rRNA from 1 species